rnacentral:rRNA from 1 species
AUUGAACGCUGGCGGCAGGCCUAACACAUGCAAGUCGAACGGUAACAGGAAGAAGCUUGCUUCUUUGCUGACGAGUGGCGGACGGGUGAGUAAUGUCUGGGAAACUGCCUGAUGGAGGGGGAUAACUACUGGAAACGGUAGCUAAUACCGCAUAACGUCGCAAGACCAAAGAGGGGGACCUUCGGGCCUCUUGCCAUCGGAUGUGCCCAGAUGGGAUUAGCUAGUAGGUGGGGUAACGGCUCACCUAGGCGACGAUCCCUAGCUGGGCUGAGAGGAUGACCAGCCACACUGGAACUGAGACACGGUCCAGACUCCUACGGGAGGCAGCAGUGGGGAAUAUUGCACAAUGGGCGCAAGCCUGAUGCAGCCAUGCCGCGUGUAUGAAGAAGGCCUUCGGGUUGUAAAGUACUUUCAGCGGGGAGGAAGGGAGUAAAGUUAAUACCUUUGCUCAUUGACGUUACCCGCAGAAGAAGCACCGGCUAACUCCGUG